rnacentral:lncRNA from 1 species
GACCAAAUUAAACAAACAAACAAACAAACAAACUCAAAUCAACUUUUAAUAGAAGAAAACACUAAUUGUAUUCCUUUCUUUUCAAACCAGAACAGCUUAUUUAUUCAUUGAACAAGUAUUUACUGAGUGCCUCCCCUGUGCUGGGCUGUGUUCUAGGAUCCGAUGUUGCAGCAGCUGGUGGAUGUUUGCUUUGAGAACCUGCAGCCUCCAGAAGAACUCAAAGCUGAAUAUUGGUGGAGACCAUUCACAAGCUAAAAACAGGAACUCCAAGUUCACAUUGGUUUUCUCCAGUUUGUAAUGUCAGAAUGAUGACUUGUUUGGGGAAUCAUUGACACCAGUGCUCUGCUCUCCAAUUCUAGGCAGCAUGGUAAGCACCUGGCUGAUUGUAGACCCAACAGACCGUA